UACGUAGGGAGCAAGCGUUGUCCGGAAUCAUUGGGCGUAAAGCGCGCGUAGGUGGCUUCGUAAGUCCGUUGUGAAAGUCAAAGGCUCAACCUUUGAAAGCCGAUGGAUACUGUGAAGCUAGAGUACGGAAGAGGCGAGUGGAAUUCCUGGUGGUAGCGGUGGAAUGCGCAGAUAUCAGGAGGAACACCAAUAGCGAAGGCAGCUCGCUGGGACGUUACUGACACUGAGGCGCGAAAGCGUGGGGAGCGAACAGG
rnacentral:rRNA from 1 species